AGAGUUAAAUAGUACGUGAAAUUGUUGAAAGGGAAACGAUUAAAGUCAGUCAUGUUGGUAGGGAAUCAACUUGAUGGUAUGCGGGUUUACUCGUGUCCUUUCUGGUGCACUUCCUUACUUGCAGGUUAGCAUCAAUUUCGAUUAUCAUAUAAAAAUUAAGGGAAGGUGGCUUUUCUUCGGAAAAGUGUUAUAGACCUUAGUAAAUGUGGUGAUCGGGAUUGAGGAUUGCAGCGGAUACCCUUUCGGGCUAGUCACCUGGCUUCUGAUGGUCAACCCGUCUUCGAUAGCUUGCUAACGUUGGUGGGAUCUGAUUGUCUAGAUGUUGGAUUGAUCAUAAAUUCGCUAAGGAUGCUGACGUAAUGGCUUUAAACGACC
rnacentral:rRNA from 1 species